rnacentral:misc_RNA from 1 species
CAACCCUCAAGCCCUGCUUGGUGUUGGGGCCCUACGGCUGCCGUAGGCCCUGAAAGGAAGUGGCGGGCUCGCUACAACUCCGAGCGUAGUACAAUCCUAUCUCGCUAGGGAGGUGCGGCGUGCUCCUGCCGUUAAAGACCCCAUCUUUAACCAA